AGAGUUUGAUCCUGGCUCAGGACGAACGCUGGCGGCGUGCUUAACACAUGCAAGUCGAACGGAAAGGCCCCUUCGGGGGUACUCGAGUGGCGAACGGGUGAGUAACACGUGGGUGAUCUGCCCUGCACUUUGGGAUAAGCCUGGGAAACUGGGUCUAAUACCGAAUAGGACCGCAUGCUUCAUGGUGUGUGGUGGAAAGCUUUUGCGGUGUGGGAUGGGCCCGCGGCCUAUCAGCUUGUUGGUGGGGUAAUGGCCUACCAAGGCGACGACGGGUAGCCGGCCUGAGAGGGUGUCCGGCCACACUGGGACUGAGAUACGGCCCAGACUCCUACGGGAGGCAGCAGUGGGGAAUAUUGCACAAUGGGCGCAAGCCUGAUGCAGCGACGCCGCGUGGGGGAUGACGGCCUUCGGGUUGUAAACCUCUUUCAGUAUCGGCGAAGCUCCAGGAUUUUUCUUGGGGUGACGGUAGGUACAGAAGAAGCACCGGCCAACUACGUGCCAGCAGCCGCGGUAAUACGUAGGGUGCGAGCGUUGUCCGGAAUUACUGGGCGUAAAGAGCUCGUAGGUGGUUUGUCACGUUGUCUGUGAAAACUCACAGCUUAACUGUGGGCGUGCGGGCGAUACGGGCAGACUGGAGUACUGUAGGGGAGACUGGAAUUCCUGGUGUAGCGGUGGAAUGCGCAGAUAUCAGGAGGAACACCGGUGGCGAAGGCGGGUCUCCGGGCAGUAACUGACGCUGAGGAGCGAAAGCGUGGGGAGCGAACAGGAUUAGAUACCCUGGUAGUCCAA
rnacentral:rRNA from 1 species